CCUACGGGAGGCUGCAGUGGGGAAUAUUGGACAAUGGGCGAAAGCCUGAUCCAGCCAUGCCGCGUGUGUGAAGAAGGCCUUCGGGUUGUAAAGCACUUUCAGUGGGGAAGAAAGCCUUGGGGCUAAUACCCUCGAGGAAGGACAUCACCCACAGAAGAAGCACCGGCUAACUCCGUGCCAGCAGCCGCGGUAAUACGGAGGGUGCGAGCGUUAAUCGGAAUUACUGGGCGUAAAGCGCGCGUAGGCGGUCUGAUAAGCCGGUUGUGAAAGCCCCGGGCUCAACCUGGGAACGGCAUCCGGAACUGUCAGGCUAGAGUGCAGGAGAGGAAGGUAGAAUUCCCGGUGUAGCGGUGAAAUGCGUAGAGAUCGGGAGGAAUACCAGUGGCGAAGGCGGCCUUCUGGACUGACACUGACGCUGAGGUGCGAAAGCGUGGGUAGCAAACAGGAUUAGAUACCCUGUAGUC
rnacentral:rRNA from 1 species